AUUCCAUGGUUUGGGAAUUUUCUCAUCAUUUCAUUAAACCUAUUCCAUACCUCAUGGUAGCUUUCUCCUUCUUUUUGUUGAAAAUUUGAAUCUCAAAUCUGAUUUU
rnacentral:snoRNA from 1 species